rnacentral:tRNA from 1 species
GGGCAGUCCAGUGGUAACAAGGGCUGUCUAACCGGUUUCGGGAAAGAUGGUGGAGGUAAGUGGUUGAUAAAUAGGGAUAAUCGUGAUGACUUUUAAUCUUUUGGUCGAUGGUUCGAAUCCAUCACGGCCCACCA